rnacentral:lncRNA from 1 species
CUUCAGCUCUGAAGUACUGAACAAGGAUCGUCGUGUUGAAUGGAAUACAGCUCUCUGGAGGAGUAUGAAAAUCAAUUAUCCUUAAUAUUAAGCACCCAUUGGAGGAAAUACCUAACCACAGUGCCUCCAGAAAGUUCACUGAUUAUUCAAGUCUGGGAUAAAAUUGGCGCUAGAAUUUGGUUUGAACUCAUGUGGUGAGUACCACUCUCCUGACAAUAACUUUCUCCACAAAUUUUUAAUUUCAUUCUCCAAGUUCUUUUUGUAACCAGUACUUACAAAUUAUCACAGAUUAUAUGAUCCAAAGAC